rnacentral:rRNA from 1 species
GACGAACGCUGGCGGCGUGCCUAAUACAUGCAAGUAGAACGCUGAAGGAGGAGCUUGCUUCUCUGGAUGAGUUGCGAACGGGUGAGUAACGCGUAGGUAACCUGCCUGGUAGCGGGGGAUAACUAUUGGAAACGAUAGCUAAUACCGCAUAAUAGUAGAUGUUGCAUGACAUUUGCUUAAAAGGUGCAAUUGCAUCACUACCAGAUGGACCUGCGUUGUAUUAGCGAGUUGGUGGGGUAACGGCUCACCAAGGCGACGAUACACAGCGGCCUUGAGAGGGGGAGGAGCCACAGUGGAAUUGAGACACGGUCAGGAGCACGACGGGCGGAAGCAGUGGGGAAUAUUGAACAAUGGGCGAAAGCAUGAUGGAGCGAUGCCGAGUGAGUGAGGAAGGUCUUCGGAUUGUAAAGCCCUUUUGUUAGGAAAGAAAAGCGGCGGAAUGAAACCCGCCUAUUCUGACGGUACCGAAUGACUGAGCAACGGCUAACUUCGUG